rnacentral:tRNA from 1 species
GCUCCAGUGGCGCAAUCGGUAGCGCGCGGUACUUAUAAUGCCGAGUUGUGAGUUCGAGCCUCACCUGGAGCA